rnacentral:tRNA from 1 species
AAUAAAGUGCCUGAUAAAAGGAUUAUUUUGAUGGAAUAAAUUAUGUAAUUAUUACAUUACCUUUAUUA